CAACUUUCAACAACGGAUCUCUUGGCUCUCGCAUCGAUGAARAACGCA
rnacentral:rRNA from 1 species